UACAGAGGUCCCGAGCGUUGUUCGGAUUCACUGGGCGUAAAGGGUGCGUAGGCGGUUCUGAAAGUCUGAUGUGAAAUCUCCAGGCCCAACCUGGAAACGGCAUUAGAAACUACAGGGCUAGAGGCUUGGAGGGGGAACUGGAAUGCUCGGUGUAGCAGUGAAAUGCGUAGAGAUCGAGCGGAACACCAGUGGCGAAGGCGGUGGUCUGGGCCGGAACUGACGCUGAGGAGCGAAAGCGUGGGGAGCGAACAGG
rnacentral:rRNA from 1 species